rnacentral:rRNA from 1 species
GAAAGUAAGCAAGGGCAGACGGUGGAUGCCUUGGCUCUCGGAGGCGACGAAGGACGUGAUAAGCUGCGAAAAGCCCGGGGGAGGCGCAAAUAGCCGUUGAUCCCGGGAUAUCCGAAUGGGGCAACCCGGCAGGCUGAAGGCCUGUCAUCCCGAAAGGGAGGCGAACGUGGGGAACUGAAACAUCUAAGUACCCAUAGGAGGAGAAAAUAAACAAUGAUUCCGUAAGUAGUGGCGAGCGAACACGGAAGAGCCCAAACCCAUGUCGUCUAGGCGACACGGGGGUUGUAGGACCACGACGUGGCAAGAAGGAAGGGAAAUGGAACGCCUUGGAAAAGUCGGCCAUAGACGGUGAAAGCCCGGUACAUGACUCCCUUACGAAGCCUAGUGGUAUCCUGAGUAGCGCGGGGCACGAGAAAUCUUGCGUGAAGCAGCGGGGCCCAUCCCGUAAGGCUAAAUACUCCCGAGAGACCGAUAGCGAACCAGUACCGUGAGGGAAAGGUGAAAAGAACCCCGAGCAGGGGAGUGAAAUAGACCCUGAACCCGUCUGCCUACAAGCGGUCGGAGCGUCGUAAUGACGUGACGGCGUGCCUUUUGCAUAAUGAACCUACGAGUUACCUUCCCCGGCAAGGUUAAGUUCUUGAGGAACGGAGCCGAAGCGAAAGCGAGUCUGAACAGGGCGCCAAGUCGGGGGGGGUAGACGCGAAACCGAGUGAUCUACCCUUGGCCAGGUUGAAGGUUGGGUAACACCAACUGGAGGACCGGAUGGGUAAGCGUUGAAAAGCUUUCCAAUGAGCUGAGGGUAGGGGUGAAAGGCUAAUCAAACUCGGAGAUAGCUCGUACUCCCCGAAAUGCAUUUAGGUGCAGCCUCUUUAUAGUAUAUCGUGAGGUAGAGCGACUGAUUGGAUGCGAGGGCUUCACCGCCUAUCAAGUCCAGAUAAACUCCGAAUGCGCGAUAUAUAUUUACAGGGAGUGAGGGCGCGGGUGCUAAGGUCCGUGUCCGAGAGGAGAAGAAUCCAGACCACCGGCUAAGGCCCCCAAAUGAUCGUUAAGUUGAACUAACGAGGUCGGAUCGCAGAGACAGCUAGGAUGUUGGCUUGGAAGCAGCCAUUCAUUUAAAGAGUGCGUAACAGCUCACUAGUCGAGCGAUCUGGCGUGGAUAAUAAUCGGGCAUAAACGAUCUGCCGAAGCCGUGGAUGUCGCAAGACAUGGUAGGGGAGCAUUCCAUGCCGCGUCGAAGAUGAGGGAUGACCCUUGUUGGAGCGCAUGGAAAAGCAAAUGUAGGUAUGAGUAACGAUAAGGGGGGCGAGAAACCCCCCCGCCGAAAGACCAAGGUUUCCUGAUCAACGCUAAUCGGAUCAGGGUGAGUCGGGACCUAAGGCAAAGCCGAACGGCGCCGCCGAUGGAAGAAUGGGUUAAUAUUCCCAUACUGCCUCAUGGAGUGACGUGGAGACGGAGAAGUGACAGUCCUGCCGGCUGACGGAAUAGCCGGUUGAAGGGUGUAGAUAUUGAUUCCCGUAGGCAAAUCCGCGGGGAGAGUCGAACCUGAGAGUAUACGGAGCGCUUGCGCAACGUAAUAUGGACGUAACCAUGCUCCCGAGAAAAUCCGCUAAACUUAUCCAUGCGGCACCCGUACCGUAAACGGACACACGUGGUCGGGUUGAGAAUACUGAGGCGCUCGAGUGAUUCACGGUUAAGGAACUAGGCAAAUUGACCCUGUAACUUCGGGAUAAAGGGUCCUCGUCGUAAGGCGAGGCGCAGAGAAUAGGUCCAGGCAACUGUUUAACAAAAACACAUGGCUGUGCUAAAUGGAAACAUGAUGUAUACAGCCUGACACCUGCCCGGUGCCGGAAGGUUAAGAGGAGAUGUCAUCCGCGAGGAGAAGCGUUGAAUUGAAGCCCCGGUAAACGGCGGCCGUAACUAUAACGGUCCUAAGGUAGCGAAAUUCCUUGUCGGGUAAGUUCCGACCUGCACGAAUGGUGUAAUGAUCCGGACGCUGUCUCAACCGUGAGCUCAGUGAAAUUGUAGUAUCGGUGAAGAUGCCGAUUACCCGCGAUGGGACGAAAAGACCCCGUGAACCUUUACUGCAGCUUAGCACUGACCUUGGUCAUCCGAUGUGUAGGAUAGGCCGGAGGCUAUGAAGCCGGUACGCCAGUAUUGGUGGAGCCGCCGUUGAAAUACGGCCCUUUGGCUGUCUGAGGUCUAACGCGUGAUUCGCGGACACUGCUUGGCGGGCAGUUUGACUGGGGUGGUCGCCUCCAAAAGCGUAACGGAGGCUUCCAAAGGUGCCCUCGGGCCGAUUGGUAACCGGCCUUGAAGAGUGCAAUGGCAUAAGGGCGCUUGACUGGGAGGGAGACAUCCCGAGCAGGCAGGAAACUGGGGCAUAGUGAUCCGGCGGACGUGUAUGGAAACUCCGUCGCUCAAAGGAUAAAAGGUACUCCGGGGAUAACAGGCUGAUCCCCCCCAAGAGCUCAUAUCGACGGGGUGGUUUGGCACCUCGAUGUCGGCUCGUCACAUCCUGGGGCUGGAGAAGGUCCCAAGGGUUGGGCUGUUCGCCCAUU